AACGCUGGCGGAAUGCUUUACACAUGCAAGUCGAACGGCAGCACGGGGGCUUGCUCCUGGUGGCGAGUGGCGAACGGGUGAGUAACGCGUCGGAACGUACCGAGUAAUGGGGGAUAACGCAGCGAAAGCUGUGCUAAUACCGCAUACGCCCUGAGGGGGAAAGUGGGGGAUCGCAAGACCUCACGUUAUUCGAGCGGCCGACGUCUGAUUAGCUUGUUGGUGAGGUAAUGGCUCACUAAGGCGACGAUCAGUAGCGGGUCUGAGAGGAUGAUCCGUCACACUGGAACUGAGACACGGUCCAGACUCCUACGGGAGGCAGCAGUGGGGAAUUUUGGACAAUGGGGGCAACCCUGAUCCAGCCAUUCCGCGUGAGUGAAGAAGGCCUUCGGGUUGUAAAGCUCUUUCAGCCGGAACGAAACGGUAUUCCUUAAUACGGGAUGCUAAUGACGGUACCGGCAGAAGAAGCACCGGCUAACUACGUGCCAGCAGCCGCGGUAAUACGUAGGGUGCGAGCGUUAAUCGGAAUUACUGGGCGUAAAGCGUGCGCAGGCGGAUUGUUAAGCAAGAUGUGAAAUCCCCGGGCUUAACCUGGGAAUGGCAUUUUGAACUGGCAGUCUAGAGUGUGUCAGAGGGGGGUGGAAUUCCACGUGUAGCAGUGAAAUGCGUAGAUAUGUGGAGGAACACCAAUGGCGAAGGCAGCCCCCUGGGAUAACACUGACGCUCAUGUACGAAAGCGUGGGUAGCAAACAGGAUUAGAUACCCUGGUAGUCCACGCCCUAAGCGAUGUCAACUGGUUGUUGGGGGAGUGAAAUCCCUUAGUAACGAAGCU
rnacentral:rRNA from 1 species